rnacentral:rRNA from 1 species
AAAUUGAAGAGUUUGAUCAUGGCUCAGAUUGAACGCUGGCGGCAGGCCUAACACAUGCAAGUCGAACGGUAGCACAGAGAGCUUGCUCUCGGGUGACGAGUGGCGGACGGGUGAGUAAUGUCUGGGAAACUGCCUGAUGGAGGGGGAUAACUACUGGAAACGGUGGCUAAUACCGCAUAACGUCGCAAGACCAAAGAGGGGGACCUUCGGGCCUCUUGCCAUCAGAUGUGCCCAGAUGGGAUUAGCUAGUUG